GCCUGCGCGGACGUCGAUGGGUUUGUGGGCGCAGGGCGCGAGGCGCGAGGCGGUAGCUGGGCUAGUCCUGUUCCCUGGCGUCUGGGCCUUUCUGCUCUCCGCAAGGAGCUGGGUCGCGACCUGUCACUGCCAGCCGUGCGCUCGCCCUCUGCGCCCCGUCUCGUGGUCACUGCCGCCCUCCCUCCCGCCACACCUGUGAUGAUCGCUAUGGAGCCGCGCCUCAGGUGGCAUUACUAUAAACCUAAGAGGAGAGGCGCCCGUUCGAAUAAGGGCAAAUUAUUUAGUAUUUUCACUGGGCAGCACUGAGUCUUGACUAUAUUCCAGAACUUACCUCCAGCCUUUCCCGAUGACUAUCAAUGCUUCUAGCAUCCCCAGCUACUCAUGGAUCAUCAUCAUCAUCACCAAAAGUCUUCAAUGUUCCUGGCAGCUUAAAGUACCAACUGGGACACUUGUCACUAGUUUGAGAAGUGCAGCCAUAGUGACCUCUUUUGAAAGAUGAAUCAAUGAAUUAAGUCAUUUCUGAGAAACCAAGGAGGCCUGUUGAAGGAGGCUGGCCCUCCUGUGGCAGGUAACCCAACCUCCACUGCCCUUGGCAACAGGACAAGGCUAAUAUUUUCCCAAGAAGGGCCUUUUCAUGGAAUGAUCUUUCCAACCCGUUGACUACAACAAGCUGCCGCUCAGUCUUUUUUCCAUAGAGAGGACGUUUUUCCCCCAGAACAAGCAGGUCUUUUGUACCAGAAGGAAAAGAUUGCCACUCACCACUUGUUACUUUAUAGCCUUCGAAGCCCAACCCCAGGUGCUAGCUUUGAAACCCAACUUUGCCACAGACCAGCAUGUUGAUGGAGAGGCUCUCACCCACAAGCAUGGAGUGGGAGGGUGAUUUCCUGGGAGAAAGAAAGCCACUUUCUUUUUGGAAGCCAACGAAUGCCAAGUAGAUGCCACCAAAGCCAGUGAUGGCUUGUGAAAGCCCAGUGUCCUGGGACAGGAAAGACAAGGGGAUCCCAGCCAAGUCUGACUGCAAUGAGGCCAAACGUUGCCCCAGAGCAAGACUUCAUCUCCCUUUUCCUGACAAACCAUUGAUGGCUGCGUUUCACAUUAACCUAGAUUAAAAGUCUCCUUGAAAUGUAUAAUUGUAAUUAAUUAUUGGUUCAUUUGUUUGUCUCACCCCCACCCCCAGAAUGUUACUUAAUGGUAUGGAGGGAUUACCUUUAUCUUUGUAUCAUCAGAGAUCAAUAAAUGCAUGCUGAAUAAAUAAGUGUGAAAUA
rnacentral:lncRNA from 1 species